GUGAAGCAGACAUGCAGAGGUUGGUGUCGGUGACCAUAGAACAGUAUGGACAACUAGAUUGCCUGGUGAACAAUGCUGGCGGGCAUCCCCCCGAUCAAAGAAUCGAUGAUGUGUCUGCACAAGAAUUCCGCAAUCUCAUGGA